GUAUCAGCUUCAGUUGGACUUAAACUCCCUCAUCUCUCAUCUCAAACUUUCUCUCUCACCGGCGCCGCGCCAAUCCUUCCCCUCUUCUCCGAUCCAAAAUUCACAGCGCCGCCGUAACAAAUCCGACUACCUCUCCCCUCCGCCUCUAAUCUCUCAUCUCAAACCUCAGCUUCGCUUCUUCGAAUCUCAUCUCUAUUUCCUCACAUCUAGCCUAAUAGUGAAACCCUAAAACUUCCGAAGCUGAAUUAAAUGGUGAAGACGAAGCUAUAGGCCACGAGACCUUAGGGGAAAAACUCAGUGACGUCUACUACAUACGACAGUAACAAGAAGUACGCGAGAGACGAAGAAGUGAUGGAUUCUUAGCACUUACCUGUGGUGAAGGUCGCAAACGACCGAAAUGGAGGCUUGGCGAAAUAAACGCGGUCACGUCACCGAUCCAGGUUUGGAAAGUGUAUGUUGGACUGUUCCUUUGGAUUGGAUAAACAAGUGCAGGGCUGGUGUGACUGUGUUGAGCUAGCGUGUAAUGACUUUGACGUCGUACUUGGCGUGCCAAAGCGUGAAUGUUGCAGCAGGCUUUGUGAACAAUAGCAUGUCGGUUUUUUCUAUUGAAGCUUUAAUUGCAAAGGCUAGCUGUUGGAAAAUUAUGCAGAGUUUGGGGGUUGAGGAGGCAUGGAGUUUAGGACAUUGUUUCUUCUAUUUUUUAGACAUUAGGAUGAGUUUUGCUGCAAGUUUCAUGUAAUGACAAUGAUGCACUUGAAUUAUAAUGUGUCUUUGACUUGGAGUGUAAUGAAAAUAUAGGAUCCCUCUUUAAA